AACUCCUUUGGAGUCACACAAAGACUAAGAGAAAUUGGCGACGCAGGAAGAGUACCGCAGUUGGCUAAGUUUUAUUUUUUUUUCCUUUUGUUUUUGCUUAUGCCGAAUUCUAUGAUUAUGUGUAACUAAUUUUCUGUUUCUAGGGCAUGAUGUGGCCCUGGUAUGAUAAUCUAGUUUUCUUAUUUUACCUAUCUAUUGAUUGCUGUUUGAUGUUGGAUUCUUAAUCAUUGUGCUUAGUAACUUGGUUGAUUAUCUUGAUGCUUCAUCACCAUCUACACUUUUAAUUGAGUUAAUCGGAUGCAAAUUAGAGUGAAUACCAUACUUAAUUUGACACUUGCUGUAACACCCCGACCCUAUUGUAAUUAUCCAUUUAAAUUAUUUAAUUUAAUUAAUUGUGAAAUUACAAUUUUGCCCUUGGGGAUAGGGUCAUUUUGGUCACUUUUUAAUCUUGUAGGAUUUUGGGGAAAUGAAUUACACCUUGUGUAGAGUGCGUCGACACAAGUUUGUAGACACAUAGUGGGCUCAAAUCAGAGUUGUAACGAAGAAGUUACGAUCAACGGAAGUGUAGUGGCACAACCGUAAAUAACUUGAAGUUGGACUUUUAAAAACUCUUUUUUUUUUUCUCUCUCUCUCUCUUCUCUCCCUCUCACGACUUCACGCUCACUCUCUCUCUCUCCACAAACAGCCGGGCACUGUUUUUGGCUGUCAACCUCCUCAUCUGGCCUCCACUAGUUUUCUUGAUUAUGUAGGUAUAGGUAUUGAUGGGUGUUUCGAGAAUUUUCCGUUCGCCGAAAUUUUCUCAAGACACCCACGCACUGCG
rnacentral:lncRNA from 1 species